rnacentral:lncRNA from 1 species
GUGCUAUGACUUGAUAUUUCAAAAGAAGGGAAAUAGAUGUCUCAGUAUUAAAUUUCAAACGGGAAGUUUAACCUGUAUAUUGGCUUAUUUAGGGUAAGAGUGAAGCUAUCCUGGACAAGAACUUUGACAGGACAAUACUAUUCACUCUGAAGGACCAAAAAAUGAGCAGAAAAUUUGGGAUAAAUGUCAACAAGAUUUGAACCCUAAAGAAAAGCAAGCAUCGAGUUAGACAGACGUCCAUAUUCAUUCAACUGGGAAAAUAAAACUGCAGUCCCAACAUCAGAAUUUCCUUGGUCAGUUGGUUAUUGCGGGACAGCAUUCUUCUGCAUGACAGUAUUGUCUCCUUACCAGCCACAGAGGAGGCUGUGAGAGAGAGGAUUUGGGAAAUUGGUGCAAAUGAGAAAUCUUGGAAAUCUAGAACUAAAGCCUUUCAGCAGGAAAUCCAGAUGCUCACUAAGUGACUAGAGCAGCUGCAUCAUCUUUAAGAAGAAGGUGCUCAAGAAUCAUCCCAAGCUGAAGAAAAAAGUAUUGGGAACAAAAAAGACCCUUGAAAUGUCUAGAAAGAAAAAUUGAGAUCAAGGACUUUUUCAAGAGAGAUUAGAC